rnacentral:rRNA from 1 species
UUAAUAGCCGUGGUAUUUUGACCAUGCUAAGGUAGCAUAAUCAUUUGGUUUUUAAUUGGGAUCUCGUAUGAAAGGUUGAACGAAAGCUUUUCUGUAUCAUUUUAUUUCUGUAAAAUUUAUUUUUCAAGUGAAGAAACUUGGUUGAAAGAAAAGGACAAGAAGACCCUGUCGAGCUUUUAUAAGUGCAUUAAUUUAGAAGGUGGUGUUAUUAUUUUAGUUGGGGCAACUAAGGAAAAUAACUUCUUUAAUUUAGUGAUUGGUAGGUAUAAAAGAUAAAGAAAUUUUUAUAAGAGAGCAAGUUACCGCAGGGAUAACAGCGUAAUUUUUUUUGAAAGACCGUAUUGGAAGAGAAGAUUGCGACCUCGAUGUUGGAUUAAAACGUCCUUGGGGGGCAGAAAAUUCAAAGGGUUGGUCUGUUCGACCAUUAAAGUUUUAC